CGUUACUUUCCGGUUUAGUUACGUUUACUAGUUAUUCUUGUUAUUAAUUUUUACUAUUUGAAAAGUUAUUUUAUAUGUGCAGCUCAACAAUGAAGUAGAGGAUAUGCGGUAUCAACUCGACAUCAAGAAUUUAUAAGACUUUUUUGGACAGGUGGACAGCCGGCGCGUGGUAGAAUAGCUCUCUAGCCGUGGAGUGUGAUUUGUAUCAGCGUCUCCACGGUAGGUGGUAGUUAUUUGACUAUCCCGUUGAGGACCGGUUUGUGUCUGCUUCUUUACCUCUCCAUCCAAUGCCUUACCAGUACUUUUCUCACUCAGGUGGAGAACCAGUACCACCCCAUUCUUGACACCACCUGGACUCAAGACAGCGGACAACAUACUUUUUUGGACAGGUGGACAGCCGGCGCGUGGUAGGAAAGCUCUCUAGCCGUGGAGUGUGAUUUGUAUCAGCGUCUCCACGGUGGAGAACCAGUACCACCCCAUUCUUAACACGACCUGGACUCAAGACAGCGGACAACAUGUGAGCGCACAGCGGUGUGAAGAGCCACAACCUUGCCGAGACCUCUGAUGCUUCAGUUGCGUUUAUUAAUAAGUAUAUUUUUUUUCUUGACCUUUCCAGACUUUUUUGGACAGGUGGACAGCCGGCGCAUGGUAGGAAAGCUCUCUAGCCGUGGAGUGUGAUUUGUAUCAGCGUCUCCACGGUGGAGAACCAGUACCACCCCAUUCUUGACACGACCUGGACUCAAGACAGCGGACAACAUACUUUUUUGGACAGGUGGACAGCCGGCGCAUGGUAGGAAAGCUCUCUAGCCGUGGAGUGUGAUUUGUAUCAGCGUCUCCACGGUAGGUGGUAGUUAUUUGACUAUCCCGUUGAGGUCCGGUUUGUGUCUGCUUCUUUACCUCUCCAUCCAAUGCCUUACCAGUACUUUUCUCACUCAGGUGGAGAACCAGUACCAACCCAUUCUUGACACCACCUGGACUCAAGACAGCGGACAACAUGUCAGCACACAGCGGUGUGAAGAGCCCCAACCUUGCAGAGACCUCUGAUGCUUUUUUUACAACUUACAUUUGCUGUAACCA